AGGAAUCAUGCACGGUGUAGACUAUAUGUCUGCAAAUUGCUUUUUCACGGGGCAACAUAUAAGUGAGUGGAUCUACAGAAAUACAAUGUUUUGGAGUUGAGUACCAGGGCUCACAGGUUUGCUUCCUCCAAAAUUUUAAGUUCAAAUCCUACUAGCGUUAAGGGUAUCUUUGUUUUUGUAGUUGAGGUUGAAGCAUGUUUCAUGGAGCCCAU
rnacentral:lncRNA from 1 species